GACGAACGCUGGCGGCGUGCUUAACACAUGCAAGUCGAACGGUAAGGCCCCAGCUUGCUGGGGUACACGAGUGGCGAACGGGUGAGUAACACGUGGGUGACCUGCCCCGCACUUCGGGAUAAGCCUGGGAAACUGGGUCUAAUACCGGAUAGGACCGCACCGUGAGGGUGUGGUGGAAAGUUUUUCGGUGUGGGAUGGGUCCGCGGCCUAUCAGCUUGUUGGUGGGGUAAUGGCCUACCAAGGCGGCGACGGGUAGCCGGCCUGAGAGGGUGGACGGCCACAUUGGGACUGAGACACGGCCCAGACUCCUACGGGAGGCAGCAGUGGGGAAUAUUGCACAAUGGGCGGAAGCCUGAUGCAGCGACGCCGCGUGGGGGAUGACGGCCUUCGGGUUGUAAACUCCUUUCACCAUCGACGAAGGUUUUCUGACGGUAGAUGGAGAAGAAGCACCGGCUAACUACGUG
rnacentral:rRNA from 1 species